rnacentral:rRNA from 1 species
UGCCAGCAGCCGCGGUAAUACGGAGGGUGCGAGCGUUGUCCGGAUUUAUUGGGUUUAAAGGGUGCGUAGGCGGCCCGUUAAGUCAGCGGUGAAAUCCCACGGCUCAACCGUGGAACUGCCGUGGAUACUGGCGGGCUUGAGUACAGACGAGGCAGGCGGAAUUGAUGGUGUAGCGGUGAAAUGCAUAGAUACCAUCAGGAACCCCGAUUGCGAAGGCAGCUUGCUAGGCUGUGACUGACGCUGAGGCACGAAAGCGUGGGGAGCGAACAGGAUUAGAUACCCCGGUAGUCC